rnacentral:rRNA from 1 species
ACACGCUACAAUGGCCAACACAAUAGGUUGCUAAGCCGCGAGGUGGAGCCAAUCCUCAAAGUUGGUCUCAGUUCGGAUUGCAGGCUGCAACUCGCCUGCAUGAAGCCGGAAUCGCUAGUAAUCGCGGAUCAGCAUGCCGCGGUGAAUACGGUUCCCGGGCCUU